CAGUGUUAUAGCAUGCAUCUACUGCAAACCACCCUCCUGUCUUUCAAACGAGAUGAUCAUAGACGAAACAUCACGGAGCUGGAAGGGGGACUUCUAGCGUUGACCCAUGCCUCAAUUUACAGAUGAAGAAACUGAAGCUCAAAGGUUGGAUUACUUGCCCGUGGUCACACAGCAAAUAAAGCAACUGAAGCUCCAAAAGAUCAAAUGACCUGUCCAAGAUCACACUAAACAGGCCCAGGAUUUGAACCCAGGUCAACUGACUCCAGAUCAGAACCCUUCCCAGCCACCUUUGUCAUUGGACCCAAGAUUCUCCUGUCUGGCCUUGAAAACGUGUCCUUUUGAAAUUAUCUCUCCAGUAUCCAGUCAAAGAUCAAAUCAUGUCGAUUUUCCCUUCAAAAUGUCUUCUGUGAGUCUCUUAGAGGCAGCCUGCGCCAAGGAAAAAUACCAUCCUAGAAGAAGUCAGGAAGUAGAGAUGAGGAAGGAGAGCCACUGAAAAGGAAUGGUCCAUCUACAGAGAAAGAACUGAUAGUAUCUGAAUACAGAUUGGAGUAUAAUUUUUUUGUUAGUUCCUUUUUCUAAAG